GAAUUCAGACAAACUCCGAAUGCCAAUUAAUUUAACUUGGGAGUCAGAACAUGGGUGAUAAGGUCCGUGUUCGAAAGGGAAACAGCCCAGACCACCAGCUAAGGUCCCAAAAUAUAUGUUAAGUGGAAAAGGAUGUGGCGUUGCCCAGACAACUAGGAUGUUGGCUUAGAAGCAGCCAUCAUUUAAAGAGUGCGUAAUAGCUCACUAGUCGAGUGACACUGCGCCGAAAAUGUACCGGGGCUAAACAUAUUACCGAAGCUGUGGAUUGUCCUUUGGACAAUGGUAGGAGAGCGUUCUAAGGGCGUUGAAGCAUGAUCGUAAGGACAUGUGGAGCGCUUAGAAGUGAGAAUGCCGGUGUGAGUAGCGAAAGACGGGUGAGAAUCCCGUCCACCGAUUGACUAAGGUUUCCAGAGGAAGGCUCGUCCGCUCUGGGUUAGUCGGGUCCUAAGCUGAGGCCGACAGGCGUAGGCGAUGGAUAACAGGUUGAUAUUCCUGUACCACCUAUAAUCGUUUUAAUCGAUGGGGGGACGCAGUAGGAUAGGCGAAGCGUGCGAUUGGAUUGCACGUCUAAGCAGUAAGGCUGAGUAUUAGGCAAAU
rnacentral:rRNA from 1 species